AUUGAACGCUGGCGGCAUGCUUUACACAUGCAAGUCGAACGGUAACAGGCCUUCGGGUGCUGACGAGUGGCGAACGGGUGAGUAAUGCAUCGGAACGUACCCAGAGGUGGGGGAUAACGCAGCGAAAGCUGUGCUAAUACCGCAUGUGAUCUGAGGAUGAAAGCGGGGGACCGAGCAGCAAUGUUUGGCCUCGCGCCUUUGGAGGGGCCGAUGUCGGAUUAGCUAGUUGGUGGGGUAAAGGCCUACCAAGGCGACGAUCCGUAGCUGGUCUGAGAGGACGACCUGCCACACUAGAACUGAGACACGGCCCAGACUCCACCGGUAGGCAGCAGUGGAGAAUUUUGGACAAUGGGCGGAAGCCUGCUCCAGCAAUGCCGCGUGCGGGAAGAAGGCCUUCGGGUCGUAAACCACUUCUGGCAGGAACGAAACGGUGUCCGCUAAUACCGGGCCUUAAUGACGGUACCUGACGAAAAAGCACCGGCUAACUACGUG
rnacentral:rRNA from 1 species